rnacentral:rRNA from 1 species
CAGGCCUAACACAUGCAAGUCGAACGGUGGCAGCAAUGCCAUAGUGGCAAACGGGUGCGUAACGCGUAAGCAACCUGCCCACUACUGGGGGAUAGCCCGGCGAAAGCGGGGGUAAACCCGCAUGGUCCUCGAGAGUCACCUGGCUUUUUAGGUAAACAUUUAUGGGUAGUGGAGGGGCUUGCGUCUGAUUAGCUAGUUGGCGGGGUAAGGGCCCACCAAGGCGACGAUCAGUAGGGGUUCUGAGAGGAUUGGCCCCCACAUGGGUACUGAGACACGGACCCAACUCCUACGGGAGGCAGCAGUAGGGAAUAUUGGGCAAUGGAGGCAACUCUGACCCAGCCAUGCCGCGUGGAGGAUGACGGCGCUCAGCGUUGUAAACUCCUUUUAACUGGGAAGAACGGCAGGGGCGAGCCCCUGCGUGACGGUACCAGUGGAAUAAGCACCGGCUAACUCCGUGCCAGCAGCCGCGGUAAU